rnacentral:rRNA from 1 species
UCCUGGCUGUAAACGCUGCCCGCUUGGUGUUGUCGGUCUUUCGGGGGCCGGCAGUGCCGGAGCGAAGGUGUUAAGCGGGCCGCUUGGGGAGUACGGUCGCAAGGCUGAAACUUAAAGGAAUUGGCGGGGGAGCACCGCAACGGGAGGAGCGGUGCGGUUUAAUUGGAUUCAACGCCGGAAACUCACCGGGGCGACUGUUACAUGAAGGCCAGUUCAAAGACUUUGCCUGAUUU